AGAUAUUUCCUGAUAUAUUCCGCUAUAUCCCGCUAUCGGUUGAGACUUUUAAUCAGUAGGUCGCUGGUUCGAAUCCAGCAGGGCUCACCA
rnacentral:tRNA from 1 species